rnacentral:rRNA from 1 species
AUUGAACGCUGGCGGAAUGCUUUACACAUGCAAGUCGAACGGCAGCACGGGGCAACCUGGUGGCGAGUGGCGAACGGGUGAGUAAUACAUCGGAACGUGCCCAAUCGUGGGGGAUAACGUAGCGAAAGUUACGCUAAUACCGCAUACGAUCUACGGAUGAAAGCGGGGGAUCGCAAGACCUCGCGCGAAUGGAGCGGCCGAUGUCAGAUUAGGUAGUUGGUGGGGUAAAGGCUCACCAAGCCGACGAUCUGUAGCUGGUCUGAGAGGACGACCAGCCACACUGGGACUGAGACACGGCCCAGACUCCUACGGGAGGCAGCAGUGGGGAAUUUUGGGACAAUGGGCGCAAGCCUGAUCCAGCCAUUCCGCGUGCAGGAUGAAGGCCUUCGGUUGUAACUGCUUUUGUACGGUAACGAAACGGUUACGUAC